rnacentral:rRNA from 1 species
UACGUAGGGUGCGAGCGUUGUCCGGAAUUACUGGGCGUAAAGAGCUCGUAGGUGGUUUGUCGCGUUGUCCGUGAAAACUCACAACUCAAUUGUGGGCGUGCGGGCGAUACGGGCAGACUGGAGUACUGCAGGGGAGACUGGAAUUCCUGGUGUAGCGGUGGAAUGCGCAGAUAUCAGGAGGAACACCGGUGGCGAAGGCGGGUCUCUGGGCAGUACCUGACGCUGAGGAGCGAAAGCGUGGGGAGCGAACAGG